AUUGAACGCUGGCGGCAUGCCUUACACAUGCAAGUCGAACGGCAGCACGGGAGCAAUCCUGGUGGCGAGUGGCGAACGGGUGAGUAAUAUAUCGGAACGUGCCCAGUCGUGGGGAUAACGUAGCGAAAGCUACGCUAAUACCGCAUACGAUCUACGGAUGAAAGCGGGGGAUCGCAAGACCUCGCGCGAUUGGAGCGGCCGAUAUCAGAUUAGGUAGUUGGUGAGGUAAAGGCUCACCAAGCCGACGAUCUGUAGCUGGUCUGAGAGGACGACCAGCCACACUGGGACUGAGACACGGCCCAGACUCCUACGGGAGGCAGCAGUGGGAAUUUUGGACAAUGGGCGCAAGCCUGAUCCAGCAAUGCCGCGUGCAGGAUGAAGGCCUUCGGUUGUAACUAGCUUUG
rnacentral:rRNA from 1 species